CAAGGAAUAGUUUAACAAGAAUUUCAGUUUUGGGUUCUGAUGGUGGAGGAGUAGCCUUCUUCCUUGA
rnacentral:tRNA from 1 species